GACGAACGCUGGCGGCGUGCUUAACACAUGCAAGUCGAACGAAGUGGCGAACGGGUUAGUAAUACGUGGGUAACCUGCCCUCCUUUUUGGGAUAAGCCUUGGAAACGGUGUCUAAUACCGAAUAAAGGGGGAUGGGCUCGCGGCCUAUCUGCUUGUUGGUGGGGUGAUGGCCUACCAAGGCGGUGACGGGUAGCCGGCCGGAGAGGGUGAACGGCCACAUGGGGACGGAGAGACGGCCCAGACUCGUACGGGAGGCAGCAGUGGGGGAUAUGGCAAAAUGGGGGACAGGCUGAUGCAGCGACGCCGUGUGGGGGAUGAAGGCUUUCGGGUUGUAAAACUCUGUCGCUUUCGAACGGGUAGGUGGAGAGGAAGCCACGGCUAACUACGUGUCAGCAGCCGCGGUAAUUC
rnacentral:rRNA from 1 species